GAUGAACGCUAGCUACAGGCUUAACACAUGCAAGUCGAGGGGAAACGAUAGAGAACGCUUGCUUUUGUUAGGCGUCGACCGGCGCACGGGUGAGUAACGCGUAUCCAACCUGCCCACCACUUGGGGAUAACCUUGCGAUAGUAAGACUAAUACCCAAUGACGUCCAUAGAAGACAUCUGAAAUGGAUUAAAGAUGUCUCGGUGACGGAUGGGGAUGCGUCUGAUGAGCUUGUUGGCGGGGUAACGGCCCACGAAGGCGACGAGCAGUAGGGGUUCUGAGAGGAAGGUCCCCCACAUUGGAACUGAGACACGGUCCAAACUCCUACGGGAGGCAGCAGUGAGGAAUAUUGGUCAAUGGGCGAGAGCCUGAACCAGCCAAGUAGCGUGCAGGAUGACGGCCCUAUGGGUUGUAAACUGCUUUUAUAAGGGAAUAAAGUGGGAGUCGUGACUCCUUUUGCAUGUACCUUAUGAAUAAGGACCGGCUAAUCCCGUGCCAGCCGCCGCGGUAAAAC
rnacentral:rRNA from 1 species